rnacentral:snRNA from 1 species
UGUUUCCAAACCACCAAAACCAA